rnacentral:SRP_RNA from 1 species
GGUAGGUGUGGUGGAGCAUACCUGCAGUCCAGCCACUCAGGAGGCUGAGGCAGGAGGAUCACUGGAGCCCAGGAGUUCUGGGCUGCAGUGUGCUAUGCUGAUCAGGUAUUCACACUAAGUUAGGCAUCAAGAUGGUGGCCAUCUGGGAGCAGGGGACCACCAGGUUGACUAAGAAGGAGUGAACCGUCCCUUCUGGAAACGGAGCAGGACAAAACUCCCGUGCUGAUCAGCAGUGGGAUCAAUCACACCUGUGAAUAGCCACUGAACUCCAGCCUGGCCAACACAGUGAGACCUCAUCUCUG